rnacentral:rRNA from 1 species
GACGAACGCUGGCGGCGUGCUUAACACAUGCAAGUCGAACGGAAAGGCCCUGCUUUUGUGGGGUGCUCGAGUGGCGAACGGGUGAGUAACACGUGAGUAACCUGCCCUUGACUUUGGGAUAACUUCAGGAAACUGGGGCUCAUACCGGAUAGGAGUUCCUGCUGCAUGGUGGGGGUUGGAAAGUUUCGGCGGUUGGGGAUGGACUCGCGGCUUAUCAGCUUGUUGGUUGGGUAGUGGCUUACCAAGGCUUUGACGGGUAGCCGGCCUGCGAGGGUGACCGGCCACAUUGGGACGGAGAUACGGCCCAGACUCCUACGGGAGGCAGCAGUGGGGAAUAUUGCACAAUGGGCGGAAGCCUGAUGCAGCAACGCCGCGUGCGGGAUGACGGCCUUCGGGUUGUAAACCGCUUUCGCCUGUGACGAAGCGUGAGUGUCGGUAAUGGGUAAAGAAGCACCGGCUAACUACGUG